CCUACGGGAGGCAGCAGUGAGGAAUAUUGGUCAAUGGACGAGAGUCUGAACCAGCCAAGUAGCGUGAAGGAUGACUGCCCUAUGGGUUGUAAACUUCUUUUAUAUGGGAAUAAAACGUUCCACGUGUGGGAUUUUGUAUGUACCAGAUGAAUAAGGAUCGGCUAACUCCGUGCCAGCAGCCGCGGUAAUACGGAGGAUCCGAGCGUUAUCCGGAUUUAUUGGGUUUAAAGGGAGCGUAGGUGGAUUGUUAAGUCAGUUGUGAAAGUUUGCGGCUCAAACGUAAAAUUGCAGUUGAAACUGGCAGUCUUGAGUACAGUAGAGGUGGGCGGAAUUCGUGGUGUAGCGGUGAAAUGCUUAGAUAGCACGAAGAACUCCGAUUGCGAAGGCAGUUCACUGGACUGCAACUGACGCUGAGGCUCGAAAGUGUGGGUAUCAAACAGGAUUAGAUACCCCAGUAGUC
rnacentral:rRNA from 1 species